UACGGAGGGGGCUAGCGUUGUUCGGAAUUACUGGGCGUAAAGCGCACGUAGGCGGCUUGGUAAGUUAGAGGUGAAAGCCUGGAGCUCAACUCCAGAAUUGCCUUUAAGACUGCCGAGCUAGCAGGUGAGAGAGGUGAGUGGAAUUCCGAGUGUAGAGGUGAAAUUCGUAGAUAUUCGGAAGAACACCAGUGGCGAAGGCGGCUCACUGGCUCAUACUGGACGCUGAGGUCGAAAGCGUGGGGAGCAAACAGG
rnacentral:rRNA from 1 species